GUGGGGGGGGGUGCUUUACCAUGCAAGUCGAACGAUGAUGCCCAGCUUGCUGGGUGGAUUAGUGGCGAACGGGUGAGUAACACGUGAGUAACCUGCCCUUGACUUCGGGAUAACUCCGGGAAACCGGGGCUAAUACCGGAUAUGAGCCGCCCUCGCAUGGGGGUGGUUGGAAAGUUUUUCGGUCAGGGAUGGGCUCGCGGCCUAUCAGCUUGUUGGUGGGGUGAUGGCCUACCAAGGCGACGACGGGUAGCCGGCCUGAGAGGGCGACCGGCCACACUGGGACUGAGACACGGCCCAGACUCCUACGGGAGGCAGCAGUGGGGAAUAUUGCACAAUGGGCGAAAGCCUGAUGCAGCGACGCCGCGUGAGGGAUGAAGGCCUUCGGGUUGUAAACCUCUUUCAGCAGGGAAGAAGCGCAAGUGACGGUACCUGCAGAAGAAGCGCCGGCUAACUACGUGCCAGCAGCCGCGGUAAUACGUAGGGCGCAAGCGUUGUCCGGAAUUAUUGGGCGUAAAGAGCUCGUAGGCGGUUUGUCGCGUCUGGUGUGAAAACUCGAGGCUCAACCUCGAGCUUGCAUCGGGUACGGGCAGACUAGAGUGCGGUAGGGGAGACUGGAAUUCCUGGUGUAGCGGUGGAAUGCGCAGAUAUCAGGAGGAACACCGAUGGCGAAGGCAGGUCUCUGGGCCGCAACUGACGCUGAGGAGCGAAAGCAUGGGGAGCGAACAGGAUUAGAUACCCUGGUAGUCCAUGCCGUAAACGUUGGGCACUAGGUGUGGGGCUCAUUCCACGAGUUCCGUGCCGCAGCAAACGCAUUAAGUGCCCCGCCUGGGGAGUACGGCCGCAAGGCUAAAACUCAAGGAAUUGACGGGGGCCCGCACAAGCGGCGGAGCAUGCGGAUUACUUCGAUGCAACGCGAAGAACCUUACCAAGGCUUGACAUGCACGAGAAGCCACCAGAGAUGGUGG
rnacentral:rRNA from 1 species